UUAUUGUAAAAACAUAAUCAGUAAGUAUGAAAAGAACCUCCCAAAGAAAACCCCCCAAAUUAAUCAUGCAUUUAUAGUGUACUCAAAUUCCUUCCAAAUUUACCUAGACAUGAGCAUGCUCUAUUUAUCUACUAUCCAAAGAGUUUCCUAAGUGCUCCCGUACCGUUUCCAAAGGAUUUGAAACGAAUGAAGGGUGCUUCAAUAUGGCUUGGAACCUUUCGAUUUCCUCAACGGUAUUUCGUUUCAUAGAACUCUUAGUUUGUUUAGAAGAUAAACUAUCCUUAAUUACGGGCUUCAACCUGGAGUUAGCUACCGAAAUAUCAAGAUCAAUUUCUGGAAGUACUUCUCCAAUCGAAGACACAUUGACUUUCAGGUUUUCUCUGGCUUUACGGUUCCGGCGCUUACGAGCCGAAGCAGAUAUUUUUGGAUUAGAAAAUUUUUGCUGCCAGUUGAAAUGACGGUCUUUCCGUUUAUCUUUCUUUGUUUCUUUCAGCGGAUCAUUGUUGAGCACUUGACUAUUCGAAGUAACGGUGGAAGAUAACUCGACAUUUGGAAUACUAGCUUGUUGGCUAGGUUUACCAGAAGACGGUAAACGACUUGAUGCUUUUGACGCUAGACUGACUCUUUUUUUUGCUUUUGGCUGUUGUCGUCAGCCAAACGUUUAUCUAUGGAUGAACAUACCAUGCUAAAAUAAAAUUGAUUGUGAAUCAAUCGAUAAAAAUCGUUUUAAAUGUUAAAUAGGAUAUAUAACCAAAAUAAUAUUUACGAUUGGAGUGAAAUAUCUUGAAUAUUCGGUGUGCUUUCUGGUUUAAAAAUUCACUACAACUAUUGGCAUCGGAUUUAACGGACUGCCCUUGAUUGCGUAAGUUGGUUUCAUAAUAUUAGUAUUUGAAA